AUAACGGUCCUAAGGUAGCGAAAUUCCUUGUCAGGUAAGUUCUGACCCGCACGAAAGGUGUAACGAUUUGGGCGCUGUCUCGGCAGCAGACUCGGUGAAAUCUUAGUACCUGUGAAAAUGCAGGUUACCCGCAACUAGACGGAAAGACCCCAUGGAGCUUUACUGCAGCCUGAUAUUGAAUUCUGGUCAUACAUGUACAGGAUAGGUGGGAGACAAAGAGACGUGCACGCCAGUGUACGAGGAGUCGUCGUUGGGAUACCACUCUUGUGUGACCGGGGUUCUAACCUGGUAUCGAGAACAGGUACGGGGAGAGUGUCAGGUGGGCAGUUUGACUGGGGCGGUCGCCUCCCAAAGAGUAACGGAGGCGCCCAAAGGUACGCUCAGAUUGGAUGGAAACCAAUCGUCGAGUGCAAUUGCAGAAGCGUGCUUGACUGUGAGACAAACAAGUCGAACAGGGACGAAAGUCGGGAAUAGUGAUCCGGCGGUGCCGAAUGGAAGGGCCGUCGCUCAACGGAUAAAAGCUACCCUGGGGAUAACAGGCUGAUCUCGCCCAAGAGUUCACAUCGACGGCGAGGUUUGGCACCUCGAUGUCGGCUCAUCGCAUCCUGGAGCUGGAUUCGGUUCCAAGGGUUGGGCUGUCCGCCCAUUAAAGCGGUACGCGAGCUGGGUUCAGAACGUCGUGAGACAGUUCGGUCCCUAUCUGUUGUGGGCGAAGGAGAUCUGCGGAGAGCUGUCCUCAGUACGAGAGGACCGGGAUGGACCUACCGCUGGUGCACCGGUUGUUCCGCCAGGGGCAUAGCCGGGUAGCUAAGUAGGGAAAGGAUAAGCGCUGAAAGCAUCUAAGCACGAAGCCUACUCCAAGAUGAGAUCUCCCAUUCGCAAGAAGUAAGACCCCUUAAAGACGAUAAGGUAGAUAGGCCAGGGAUGGAAGUGCAGUGAUGUACGGAGUUGACUGGUACUAAUCGGUCGAGGACUUAAUCAG
rnacentral:rRNA from 1 species